rnacentral:rRNA from 1 species
UAAUACUCCAUAGAUUAUGGAAUCUGGAAUGAUCCAUAGUCAAAAGUUCCGGCGCUUAAGGAUCGGUCUGCGGCCUAUCAGGUCGUAGUGGGUGUAACGUACCUACUAGCCUAUGACGGGUAUGGGCCUUGAGAGAGGGAGCCCAGAGUUGGAUUCUGAGACACGAAUCCAGGCCCUACGGGGCGCAGCAGUCGCGAAAACUUCACAAUGGGGGCAACCCCGAUGAGGGAAUUCCUAGUGCUAGCACAUUUGUGUUAGCUUUUCUCUAGCGUAGAUAACUAGAGGAAUAAGGGCUGGGAAAGACGGGUGCCAGCCGCCGCGGUAAUACCUGCAGCCCAAGUGGUGGUCGAUUUUAUUGAGUCUAAAACGUUCGUAGCCGGUUCGAUAAAUCUUUGGGUAAAUCGGGGGGCUUAACCUUCCGUCUUCCGAGGAGACUGUCGAACUUGGGACCGGGAGAGGCUAGAGGUACUUCUGGGGUAGGGGUAAAAUCCUGUAAUCCUAGAGGGACCACCGGUGGCGAAGGCGUCUAGCUAGAACGGAUCCGACGGUGAGGGACGAAGCCCUGGGUCGCAAACGGGAUUAGAUACCCCGGUAGUCCAGGGUGUAAACGCUGCAGACUUGGUGU